GACGAAGGAUGCAAGCGUUAUCCGGAUUCAUUGGGUUUAAAGGGAGCGUAGGUGGCCUUAUAAGUCAGUGGUGAAAUCUCUGGGCUUAACCCAGAAAUUGCCAUUGAUACUGUAGGGCUUGAGUACAGUUGCUGUGGGCGGAAUAUGACAUGUAGUGGUGAAAUACAUAGAGAUGUCAUAGAACACCGGAUUGCGAAGGCAGCUCACAAAACUGUAACUGACAACUGAGGCUCGAAAGUGCGGGGAUCAAACAGG
rnacentral:rRNA from 1 species